UACAGAGGGUGCAAGCGUUAAUCGGAAUUACUGGGCGUAAAGCGCGCGUAGGUGGUUUGUUAAGUUGAAUGUGAAAUCCCCGGGCUCAACCUGGGAACCUGCAUGCAAAACUGGCAAGCUAGAAGUAUGGUAGAGGGUGGUGGAAUUUCCUGUGUAGCGGUGAAAUGCGUAGUAUAUAGGAAGGAACACCAGUAGGCGAAGG
rnacentral:rRNA from 1 species